AUUGAACGCUGGCGGCAGGCCUAACACAUGCAAGUCGAGCGGAGCGGCGAACGGGUGAGUAAUGCCUAGGAAUCUGCCUGGUAGCGGGGGAUAACUCCCGGAAAGGGGCGCUAAUACCGCAUACUAUCAGAGCAGCCUAGGUGGGAUUAGCUAGUUGGGGGGGUAAAGGCCUACCAAGGCGACGAUCCGUAACGGGUUUGAGAGGAUGACCAGUCACACUGGAACUGAGACACGGUCCAGACUCCUACGGGAGGCAGCAGUGGGGAAUAUUGGACAAUGGGCGAAAGCCUGAUCCAGCCAUGCCGCGUGUGUGAAGAAGGUCUUCGGAUUGUAAAGCACUUUAAGUUGGGAGGCGUUACCAACAGAAUAAGCACCGGCUAACUUCGUGCCAGCCGCCGCGGUAAUUC
rnacentral:rRNA from 1 species